AAAGUCGUAACAAGGUUUCCGUAGGUGAACCUGCGGAAGGAUCAUUACCGAGUUUAUCGGGGGGCUCGCCCCCCCGAAACCUCCACCCGGUGUUUAGAUGACCCGCCUUGUCGUUGCCUCGGCGGGAUGCACAGCAGUGUUUCCCGCCGGCGGACAGCACACAAAAACCCUGAUAUCAACCGUGCAGUCGGAGCCCUCGUGGCAAAAAAAAAAAUAAAAAUCAAAACUUUCAACAACGGAUCUCUUGGUUCUG
rnacentral:misc_RNA from 1 species